UCGCAAUUUUUAAUGAAAACUAUGUUGGAAAGCUUACAUUCGUUAUAUAAAUCACUGCAUCUACAACUGCAGUAAACAGCUUACAUUUAUUUUAUUUUAUGGUAAUUUUACUCUAUCGAGGAGUAAACGACUACAAAUUAUUUGCAAGUCCAAGACUUUGUGUUGUAUUUUACCAAAUAGCAGCUAUACAGUGGCGUAGCGGAGGAAGAGGAGGCCCUUAGGAAUAUUGGGUCCUGUUCACUGUUGUCAUUGUUUGACUGAGAUAUUAUAUUUAUAUUGAAUAUUUAUAGAAUGUUCUGGAAAAUUCCGUCUCUAUAACAAUGACAACAGCAGUCUCCAACACAUGUAACAACUAAUAAGAUUAAACAGCGACCGUUGUCGUUAGAGGCUUUAUUAUUUAGCAUUUAUUUAUUAAUUUUUCAUUUUCCCAUUGAUCCUUAACCUGCAUUUUUUACGUUUUCUAAUUUUCUGGGCGAUAGGCCGUGGCUGAUGGGGGCCCCUAACUGUCGGGGGCCCUUACUUUUUGAACUAACCCUAACCAAUGAGCGCUACGCCACUGCAGCUAUACUAAUGCUAUGAUGUGCUAUAAUGUUAUACAAUUAGUCCAAGUUUGAGUUCAGAUUGUUCAGAUAUAGUUGGAAAUACGUCAGCCCUAUGGGCUAUGGUUAUAGUGAUUCGUUGAACAUUUUAUCAAUAAACAUAAGAUGACUCUUUCAAACUAUAAUAUUACAGUUUUUGGGGUCGAAAGCAUUGCAAUAGUAAAUAUACGUAACGUUUUCCACAAACCAAAAUAAUACGCCAUUAAAUAAUUACGGUCGAAUGCUCAAAGGAUAAUAGCCUUAAGCCCGAAUCAAACGAGGAUGAGAGUGCAUGAGAGUUGGCAGUCACGUGACCUUGGUUAUAGCUAAUGCUUUCCCAACACUAUCAUGUACUGUAUUUUUUUAAAGAGGCUGUCAAGUCCGUUCUGCUCAUGCACGUGUUUUGUUUACAUUUUUUGUGUCAAACAAUAGAUAAUUUAAUUAAAAUUCCGAUCUGUGGGCCUCCAAGUUAGGUCAUUACGCAUUCACAAUAUAUCACGAAGGAGAAAUUGAACUACUAAAGCAAAACUUAGCCCCAAAACAACAAAUUUUAAAUAAAAAACGCUAAGAAGCACUUCUUACAGAGAUAUGGACAAAAUUUGAUUGAAAUUUGUACACAUUUAGCUCCAAGAUGACAAAUUUGAGAUUGAAAAUGUUAAGAAACAC